GCCCGAUCAGCUCAGCUGGUUAGAGCGUCGUACUAAUACUGGGGGAGAUUCAGUAAAUAGUAGUAGUUUCAUGCGAAGGUCAAAAGUUCAAUCCUGUUACUGGGCA